GGCCUAGUUUCCAGCUACACAGUCAGUAGAGCCCAUCACUGUUAUGCUCUGUCAGAUGCCUGUCAGCCAGCACCAUCGGAAGCAGUGGGAUCCCCACAGGAGGCUGGUAUUACUGAUUGGCUGCUACAAUGAUGAUCUCCGGUCACGUGAUCUACACUGGCUUUACAUAAGCUGUACAGCUCUCCUGUCACACACCAGCAGCUGCCUCUGCUCCAAGUUGCUGCUCUGAGUCCUCCUAAGAUGGCUGCUGCCCAACUGCCAACUGUCUCUGAAGACGGCUGCAACUGCCACUGCCAAAGCGCUCUCUCUCUCUCUCUCUGGGAUCAAUAUGGCUGUUGUUUAUUGGUCAGUGUCCCCUGCCAGACACAGCACUCAAGGCACACCUGCUCAUUAAAACAAGUGGUAGGCAUCCAAACCAUUGGGAGCUCUGACAACGAUGCUGUAAUCUGAUCUGUCAAUGAGCUAUCUACAUCACUGUACCUUGCCACCUGAAUCCACCAUACAUCACUGGCGAUAUUUCCUGGGAUUUACACUUGAGCAUUUUCUGGCCGAUUCUACCCCUCAGCAUCCAAAGGAGAUACUUCCAAGCUGUCAACAAGCGGACUGCAAUCUACAUCUUGGCCUACCGUGCUUUCAAUAGUAUUGUAUACUGUAUCCAUUGCUGCUGAGAGGAGAGGGAAGCAGCCGGUACUAUUUACCCGGGCUCAAGCAUGAUGGAGGGGCCCAGCAAGCGCCCAAGUCCCCCAAACCUGGCAGCAGCAGCGCUUCUCCUCAGCCCAGCAUACGUUGCUAUGUGCCGGACUGUACUGUGACCAGGGAGUACUGCAGAUCCGACGCAGCCGAACCAAGUCAAGCAAUGGGAAAAAGCAUCAUCACUGACAACACAAGAAUCACAAUAGGUUAAUUUAUGUGGAAGGUGGAGACCCCCUUGGUAAGAAGGAUGGCUUCAUGUGAAGUUCAGCUCUAUCAUCAUGGAUUAUGACAUAUGGGGAGUGACAGGACAAGGCCCCAAGCUCUGACAGUCUUUAAGUUGAAGCCAGAGCUAAAAGUCCACCUCCUCUAGGGGCUCAAACACAGUCGAUUGGAGGAAGUUCAACACUAAGUUGAGAUCCCAAGGAGCAGUAGUAGAUACAAAAAGUGGCUGGACUCGAAGGUCACCCUGUAGGAAAGUUGAAGAUCAAGAAUCAGGACCAACUGUCACUGAAAAAAUAUGGACAAGACUGACACUUGUACCUUCAGUGAUCCCAGACGAAAGCCAGCAUCCAGAACCACCUGCAGGUAAAGAGGGUGGGAAAGUUGGAAGGAAAAAGUAGAGAACCCAACCAAGCCACUUAACACUUCUAAAUGCAAUGAUAGUGUUUUGCUGUCAAUGGCUUCUGGGCUCGAAGCAUGGUGGGUACAACCACUUGCAGAAUACCCUUGCACCUGAGAAUCAUAGCUAUAACAGUCAUGAAACUAAAUGCACAUGUGGUAAGUCGGGGUACACAAAAGGACCCUGCUCAAGAAAAUCCAGCCUGAGCAGCAGUGCCCACGGAUCAUCUAUGAGAAGCAGCAGGAGGUCCAAGUACCACCCUUGGUGAGGCCAAUCCAGAGCCACCAAGAUGACUGAGGUGGACUCUCGCUUGAUGCGUUUGAGCACCCAUGGCAGAAGAGGAAAGGGUGGAAAAGGGUAUAGAAGAUACCCCCACGGAAUGGCCACCAACUCCACCACUGGUUCCCACAUCCUGGAACAAUACCACAGCAUCUGGUGGUUCUGCUGAGAGGCCAUGAGGCCUGCCUCACUGCUGGGCCAGCUGCUGGAACACCUCAGCAUAAAGGACCCAUUCCCCGGGGUGGAGAUCUUAGUGACUGAGAUAGUCCGCCUCCCAGUUUGUCAACUCCGGGUAUGAACAUAGCAGAGGUGGACACAGCGUGUCAUUCCACCCACUGCAGGAAGCUUCUGGACUCCCACAUGGCCAAGCGACUGCAUGUUCUCCCUUGCCAAUUUAUGUACACCAGGGCCUUGGCAUAGUCUGACAGCACUGAGAAUGGCAGCUCUCUGCUGGGCUGGGGGACCCGUGGCUUUGUCAAAUACUCCCCCCUCCCGCUAAUCAAGAGGUAGUUGGGGCAUACUCACUGUUGUCCGCCUACCAGUGUGCGGAGUCUAAUGACCUUGUGGUCAGGGACACAGACACUGGCCUCAGUAAGCCAUGGUGGGUUCCUCCACCCGCUCCCUUGGCGCAGACAGACUUCAGCAAUUUGUAGUCUGCCUAUGUAGUUUUCAGAUGAAGCUUCAGUAUUUAUAUAAAAUAAAAAUAUAUGAAAAAAGGCUAGAUACAGCCCAAAAGACACCCGGCUCCCUCAGGCAUAAAUCUAAACUGAGACCAGUGAUGUACAGCUUAUAGGGAGAGGAGCCUACUUCAAUUCUAAAGAAAUGUAAAAUGCCAGGCUCCACUCUUCACUCAGAACAAUUUAGGAUUUAAAAUUGCAUAUUUAAUAUAGCACACAAACCUCCUUUGAUAAAGCUGCAAUUCCUAGCAGCGAAAUGCAGUAGGUGUACUCCUACCACACCCCUGGAUUGGAAAUAAUUACAUUGGAGCAUCCAGACCAGCCACUCUUAAUAACCAGGCAUAUAUCGCUCCAGGAAUGGACCCAAAGUGUAAAAAGGAUUACUAUUAAAUAGCAACAUGUUAUUUGAGGACUCCAGCUCAUACCAAGGGACUUGUCUUCCAGGAGACAUACUGUAUCCUCUAUUGGUGGACAUUGGUAAACAUACCUCUCACUGGAUUUAUUGGCACUACACAGAGGAUCCAAUCCCCAUGAAUUUUUAAGCCUUCUUUAAUUAGUGGCAAUAUAGGAAUGGACAUUGCAAUGAAAAUGCUCUGAUAUAACAACAUUAUUAUUAUAUAUCCAGGAUGCUUGUGGUAAUUGAUACGUAAUUUUAACCUUUUUGUUUAAAGUAUGUUUAUAA